rnacentral:lncRNA from 1 species
AGAUAAUAUCAAUAAUACCAUCUGCCGUAAUAGAAGGAAUCAAUGAUGGGCAGGACAUAUUCAAUAAGAAUGCUGAAGGUGCCAAGGAAACACAUGUGCAACCAAGUACCAGUGAGACCGUUGUGCAGGGGGAGGGGGAGGAGACAGUGGUAAUCCACCCAAGUACUAUUCAUGUACAGGUUGAAAGCAGAAAAGAAGUUGUAGAUGAAGGGAGAGAGAGC